rnacentral:rRNA from 1 species
AUACGAAGGGGGCUAGCGUUGUUCGGAAUCACGGGGCGUAAAGCGCGCGUAGGUGGAUCAAUUAGUUGAGGGUGAAAUCCCGGGGCUCAACCUCGGAACUGCCUUCAAUACUGUUGAUCUUGAGACCGAGAGAGGUGAGUGGAAUUCCUAGUGUAGAGGUGAAAUUCGUAGAUAUUAGGAAGAACACCAGUGGCGAAGGCGGCUCACUGGCUCGGUACUGACGCUGAGGUGCGAAAGCGUGGGGAGCAAACAGGAUUAGAAACCCUAGUAGUCCC